CCAAAUCGGGCAUCUCCUCCACCGCUCUCGGUCUCUUCCUCCAAUGUGUCCGGCCAUACCCGCUUCGAGCCCGGUCCACCCGAACCGGAUCCGCAUACUCUCUCCGGGCCCACCCGGCCCCCCGUCCGCCGGCCCCGUGGUCUACUGGAUGUUCCGCGACCAGCGGCUCCGCGACAACUGGGCGCUGCUCCACGCGGCCCACCUCGCCGCCGCCGCCUCCGCGCCGCUCGCCGUCGCCUUCGCCCUCUUCCCCGGCCCCCCCUUCCUCCUCGGCGCCCGCGCCCGCCACCUCCUCUUCAUGCUCCGCUCCCUCCGCCGCCUCCUCCUCCUCUCCCCCUUCCCCUUCUUCCUCCUCCUCCAUUCCCCACCUUCCCACUCCCUCCCCGCCCUCCUCCGCCGCCUCUCCGCCUCCGCCCUCGUCGCCGACUUCUCCCCCCUCCGCCCCUUCCGCUCCGCUCUCGACCACAUCGUCCGAUCCGUCGGCGCCGACGUCGCCGUCCACCAGGUCGAUGCACACAACGUGGUGCCUGUCUGGGCCGCCUCUGACCACCUCGAGUACUCUGCCAGGACCCUCCGCUCCAAGAUCCACCGGUUGUUGCCGGAGUACCUUGUGGAGUUCCCUGAGCUCCCAGCCCCUGCCAUACCCUGGACCGGCGAGAAGCCUCUGGAAAUCGACUGGGAUGAGCUCUUCACUGAUAUCAAUCGGGAAGUAGGGGAUGCGCCUGAGAUCACGUGGUGUGAGCCAGGAGAGGAUGCGGCGAUGGAGACGCUAUUGGGGACCAACGAUGGGUUUCUUACGAAGAGGAUAAGGAAUUAUGAUACCGAUCGGAAUGAUCCGACAAAGCCAAGGGGGUUAUCAGGGCUCUCACCCUACCUUCACUUUGGGCAGAUCUCGGCCCAACGAUGUGCUCUCGAGGCACGGGCUCGCAGGAGUUCUAAUCCAAAGGCAGUUGAUGCAUUCUUGGAGGAGUUGAUAGUGAGAAGGGAGUUAGCAGACAACUUUUGCUAUUACCAGCCUAAGUACGACUCAUUGGAUGGUGCAUGGGAGUGGGCUCGCAAGACUUUAAUGGAGCACGCUGUGGAUAAAAGAGAGCACAUCUAUACGAGAGAGCAGUUGGAGAAAGCACAAACUGCUGAUCCUCUUUGGAAUGCAUCACAGUUGGAGAUGGUUUAUCAUGGAAAAAUGCAUGGAUUCAUGCGGAUGUAUUGGGCCAAGAAAAUUUUAGAAUGGACAAAUAAACCUGAAGAAGCACUUUCUAUCGCAAUAUACUUGAAUGACAAGGCAAUGGAACCAGAUCCCAUGUCUGAUUCUUGCGCAAAGAUUCCAUCUCUUCAAUCAUAGCAGCCAUCCAAUUGCCACUCUCCUUAUCCUGCAUCGCCUUCUCAAAAGAAGAAGAAUCAUCUGAAGUAAUUAAUAAAGCAUAAGUUGCAAAAUCAUCUAGACUGUACCUUAAUGAUGGACGAACUUGUCUUCUUUCCCUUCCUUUGGCGAUUGAGUAGGGCUCCUCUAAAGUGCUCUCAUUUGGAUCGACUGAUGUCUCAUGAUCUUCUUCAUGGUGUGGUUGCUCCACCUGAUCAUGUACACUCUCUUGUUGCUCUACCUAAAUGUCUGUAGUCUUCGCACGCUUUUCAUGUUGAGCCUGCUCUUGGAUCUUUUGCAGCAUUAAUUUUUUGUCAAAGACUACAUCCCUACUAAUCAUGUCUUUCUUGGCAACAGGGUCCCACAGCUUGUAUCCUUUCACCCCUUUCUCAAACCCAAGUAAUAUGCAGGGUUUUGACUUCGAAUCUAACUUCAUGCGCUGAUUUUUCUGAACAUGAACAUAAGCAGGACAACCAAAGACACGUAAUGAGAAAUAACUUGCAAGUUUAACUGACCAUAAUUCCUCUGGUGUUUUGAGUUCGAUUGCUGUGGAAGGAGAUCUAUUAAUAAUAUAGCAUGCCAUAUCCACUGCUUCGGCCCAGAACUCUUUUGGCAAAUCUGCACAUAUCCUCAUAGAUCGGGCUUUUUCUAACAGUGUUCUAUUCAUUCUUUAUGCUACUCAUUCUACUGUGGAUUUUCAGGAACUAUUAGAUGGCGUAUAAUGCCUUAUUCCUUGCAGAAAUUAAUGAACUCCUUGGAAGUGAAUUUUCCACCAUUGUAUGCUCUUAGAUACUUGACUUGCUUGUCUGUCUAUUUCUCCAUCUCUUUCUUCCAAUGUCUGAGCUUUAUAAAGGCUUCAGACUUUUCCUUCAUGAAGAAAACCCAAACUUUACGAGAGAAAUCAUCAAUAAAUGUUACAAAAUACUGCGCACCUCCUUUUGAAGUCACUGGAGUAGGCCCCCACACAUCUGAAUGGAUGUAUUCAACUCCAACAGCCCUUUCUCACUCAUGUAGGCUAGUCUCAUGUGCCAGAGUUCUGCAUCAUCGGCAUCAUGAUCAUCUGAGGAUGUCACUGCAACACCUCCAAUCACCGACUCGCCGAUCAACCUGUAUAGUAUGAGAUUGAUGGUCGAGAUCCAAAUGGUUAUGUUGGUUGCAUGUGGUCGAUCUGUGGUGUUCACGAUCAGGGUUGGAAAGAGAGACCAGUUUUCGGAAAGAUACGCUACAUGAACUAUGCCGGCUGCAAAAGA